GGAAACUUCCCGUGUACAGAGCCAAAAACCCAGAGGGCUCAGCAGGGGAGGAACAGCGGACAAGCAGGAGACGAGACGGACACAAAACCCUCUUUCCACUGGCUGCCAGGAUCCAGCACAAGAACCUUGGAAUCCACAUAACAGACAGGCUAAAAAAACAGUUAAUGAUCUGGACCCUAAUGCUCAGGCUGAACUGAAUAUAAACCAAAGGAAAAAGAUAAGAGGAAUAAAUGAUAAUUGAGGCAGGGAGGGAAAAACGACAGGUGAAAGAAACAACUAAUUAAGGGAGAGCAAACAGGCCAGAUCAUGACACGUAGGUGUGAUUUAUUGUCUAAACUUUGCUUUGAUUCAGGUUCAGUAAUUCUCUAUAACUUCUUCACCAGAGUUUCAUCCUGUUGGGACUGAAUGUUUCCAGCAUCAAAUCAGGAUGUUGGUUUUCAUCUGGAUAAUUGUGUCUCUCUCUACUAACAACGGUGCAUUAGGACAGGAAGAAAAGUGUGAACAACAACCUGAUUACUGUGUUUCUCUCUCUACAACCAUAACAGCAGAGGCUGGACUCUGUGCUGUGAUACCAUGUUCUUUCAAAUCUAAAUUUGAGCCAAAAGUUAUUAUUUGGUCUAAAUGCGAAAACCCCCAAAACCGAUGUACAUAUUCUGACCGUGUCUUUCACUCUGACAAGAGCAAUACAGACGUUCAGCCUGGGUUCAAAGGUCGAAUAUCACUGCUGGAGCCUGAUGUGACUCAGAGGAACUGCAGCAUCAUAAUCAAUGAUCUCAGAAAGUCUGAUUCUGGAUAUUAUCUGCUCAAAGUUGAAGGAGACGGAAGUGGGGAGAAAUAUUCUUAUACUGUUUCAUACACCAAUCUCUCUGUAAAAGAUCUUAACCAAAAGCCAGAAGUAAAGAUUCCUCCUCUGAUUGAGGGACAGCAGGUCACUCUGAGCUGCACUGCUCCUGGUUUCUGCUCUGGGUCUCCUCCUAAAAUCACCUGGAUGUGGAGAAGAAAAGGAGAGAAGGACUCUCACAUCCAGGGAAACAUCACUGCUUCAAAAACUGAGAAUCUGACCGCUGUCACACAGAGUCACAGCUCAACUCUGACCUUUAAACCUUCAGCUGAAAAUCACCACAACACCAAUAUAACCUGUCGGGUCAGUUUCACAGGAAAUGAAACCAGAAAGAGGACUGAAACACUGAAUGUAAACUAUAUCAGAAAACCUCAGAUAAGUGGUAGAACAACAGUGAUGGAGGGAGAUGAUCUGAAUCUGACCUGCAGUGUGGACAGCUUCCCUCCAUCAGUUAUCAGACUUUAGAAAACCUCAGAUCUUUGGCAAAACCACAGUAAAGGAAGGAGAUGAUCUGAAUCUGACCUGCAGUGUUGACAGCUUCCCUCCGUCAUUCAUAAAGUGGACUAAAGUUGGAACAGAAACUGACCUGCAAUCCAACAUUUUAAACAAGUCUUAUAACAGCACUCAAACAUUCCUGAAUGAGAGUCCUCAUAAUUCUUCUUUGCUCAUCAUUAAUGUAACAUCAGAAGACGCUGGACGCUACAUUUGUACAGCAACAUACCAGAAUGACACCCUGACAGAAGAAGUCAUUGUUCAUGUGACAUCUAAUCAUGUGACACAUUGUGGGGUUGGCUGUGCAGCUCUUCCCUGGGCCAUUGCUGGUGUUUCACUUAGUGUAAAUGUUCUCUGUAUGAUCUACAUUUGGCUCCUUUGGAACACAAGAAAAAAGAUGAAACCCACUGAAGGUGACCCAACUUACAUGUUUCUACAGAAAUCUGAUACAUCAGCAGGGUAUGACACCAUUGUCCAACGACCACGCUGACAUGUCUACAGGAAUCAUUGAAACUUGGAUCUAACCUGCUUAAAACUGGACUUUUAUUAAAUAUACUGUUAAGGGAUGCAAAAGAAAAGAAGAGAGCAUGUAUGUUAAUAAUGUGUCGAUUAAUUUAGUCUUUUCACGUUAGCUUCUUUCAUCUCUUGGUUUUGGUCACUGAAGUUUAAUAUUUAGUUUAUUUUCAGUAUUUACCAAUGGUGUAGUGGACAGAUUUUUUCAGUAAUGUAGGUAAAAAAAAAAAACUCCUAAGUCAUUUCCUGAAUAACUGCACGUGUGAAAAACCAUUCUACCCUUUCUUCUGGAAUCACCAGGAAGAAUCUCUCAAAUAUAUUCUGGCUAUAUUGACCGUUUCCAUGGUGAUGUGGUUAUAGUCUCAGACUGAAAUGAGGGGAUCCAACCCCUGAUGGACCCCUGGGUGUGUCAGGAAGGGCAUCUGGUGUAAAAUCUUUGCAAAGUUUACCAGCUAGUUGUAAGGAUUUGUUAUAGCGAACCUUGAACAAGGGAGCAAGAACACACACUGUUCUAAGCCUUUCUUUCCUACUUAUAA